CCAAUAGCGUAUAUUAAAGUUGUUGCAGUUAAAAAGCUCGUAGUUGAAUUUCGGGAUUGACACAUCGGUCGUGCCUUAAGGGGUGUGAACUGGUGUAGUCAAUUUCUCACCUUCUGGAGAACCGCGAUGUCCUUAAUUGGGUGCCGCGAGGAACCAGGACCUUUACUUUGAAAAAAUUAGAGUGUUUAAAGCAGGCAUUUUUGCUUGAAUACAUUAGCAUGGAAUAAUAAAAUAGGACGGCAUGAUUCUAUUUUGUUGGUUUCUAGGAUCACCGUAAUGAUUAAUAGGGAUAGUUGGGGGCAUUAGUAUUCAAUUGUCAGAGGUGAAAUUCUUGGAUUUAUUGAAGACUAACUACUGCGAAAGCAUUUGCCAAGGAUGUUUUCAUUAAUCAAGAACGAAAGUUAGGGGAUCGAAGACGAUCAGGUACCGUCGUAGUCUUAACCAUAAACUAUGCCGACUAGGAAUCAGACGAUGUUAAUUUUUUAAUGACUCGUUUGGCACCUUACG
rnacentral:rRNA from 1 species